CCAAGGAGUCUAACAUGUGCGCGAGUCAUUGGGACACGCAAACCUAAAGGCGCAAUGAAAGUAAAGGUCAGCCUAGCGCUGACCGAGGGAGGAUGGGCCGCGUCACGAUGCGGCCCCGCACUCCCGGGGCGUCUCGUUCUCAUUGCGAGAAGAGGCGCACCCAGAGCGUACACGUUGGGACCCGAAAGAUGGUGAACUAUGCCUGGUCAGGACGAAGUCAGGGGAAACCCUGAUGGAGGUCCGUAGCGAUUCUGACGUGCAAAUCGAUCGUCUGAACUUGGUAUAGCGGCGAAAGACUAAUCGAACUAUCUAGUAGCUGGUUCCCUCCGAAGUUUCCCUCAGGAUAGCUGGCACUCGCGUACAAAACGUACACGAGUCUCAUCCGGUAAAGCGAAUGAUUAGAGGCCUUGGGGCCGAAACGACCUCAACCUAUUCUCAAACUUUAAAUGGGUGAGAUCUCUGGCUUGCUUGAACUAUGAAGCCACGAGAUUUCGGAUCAGAGUGCCUAGUGGGCCACUUUU
rnacentral:rRNA from 1 species